rnacentral:rRNA from 1 species
AGAGUUUGAUCCUGGCUCAGAAUGAACGCUGGCGGCAUGGAUUAGGCAUGCAAGUCGAACGUGCUCCCUUCGGGGAGAAAGUGGCGAAAGGGUGAGUAACACGUGAGCAACCUGCCUCCGGAUCCGGAAUAAUCCAGGGAAACUUGGUCUAAAACCGGAUGAAGACAUUGGUCCGCAUGGUCUAAUGUUAAAAUAUUUAUAGUCCGGAGAGGGGCUCGCGGCCCAUUAGCUUGUUGGCGGGGUAAUGGCCCACCAAGGCUACGACGGGUAGGUGGUCUGAGAGGAUGGUCACCCACACUGGGACUGAGACACUGCCCAGACUCCUACGGGAGGCUGCAGUCGAGAAUCUUCCGCAAUGGGCGCAAAGCCUGACGGAGCGAUGCCGCGUGAGGGAUGAAGGCCUUCGGGUUGUAAACCUCUGUCAUCCGGGAACGAAAACAAUGACGGUAACCGGAAAAGGAAGCCACGGCUAACCACGUGCCAGCCGCAGC